rnacentral:lncRNA from 1 species
GUGUGUUUAGUUCUUUAUGCAUUUUGGAAAUUAAUCCUGUGUCAGAAGAGUAGCUGACAAAGAUUCUCUUCCACUCAUUUCACAUUUUAAUUGUUGUUUUCUUUGCUGUGCUGAUUCUUUUUAAUUUUAUGCCAUCCCAUUUAUUAAUUCUGGGCAUUAUUUCCUGACUUUUGAGUGUCCUUUUGAAGGGUCAGUGACAAUGUUGAAGUGUUGACCCAGUUUUAUUCUAGAAGUUGCAUAAUUUCUGGUAUAAUUCCAAAAGUUUUUGAUCAAUUUUUAGAUGACUUUUAUGCAGGAUAAGAGAUAGGGGUUUAGUUUCAUGCUUUUACACUUGGUUAACCAGUUUUUCCAGCACCAUUGGUUAAAAAGGGUAUCUUUUCUCCAAUGUAUGUUUUGGUAAUCUUAUCAAGGAUUAGAUGAUUGUAGAUGUAUUGGGUCAUCUCUGUGUUUUCUGUACCAUUGGUCUAUGUGUCAGUUUUUACACCAGUACAAUUAUUGUUGCUAUAGCUCUGUAGUAUAAUUUGAAGACAGGCUUUGUGAUGCCCCCAGCAUUGCUUUUUUGGCUUAGAAUAACUUUGGCUAUUCUGGAUCUUUUAUUAUUCCAAAUGAAUUUUAAGACUGUGAAGAGUAUCAUUAGCAUUUUGAUGAAGAUUGCAUUGAAUUUAUAUAAUGAUUUUUGUAGUAU